AGGCACGUAGCUCAGUUGGUUAGAGCACCACCUUGACAUGGUGGGGGUCGUUGGUUCGAGUCCAAUCUCCUACCA
rnacentral:tRNA from 1 species